rnacentral:rRNA from 1 species
GACGAACGCUGGCGGCGUGCUUAACACAUGCAAGUCGAACGGAAAGGCCCUGCUUUUGUGGGGUGCUCGAGUGGCGAACGGGUGAGUAACACGUGAGUAACCUGCCCUUGACUUUGGGAUAACUUCAGGAAACUGGGGCUAAUACCGGAUAGGAGCUCCUGCUGCAUGGUGGGGGUUGGAAAGUUUCGGCGGUUGGGGAUGGACUCGCGGCUUAUCAGCUUGUUGGUGGGGUAGUGGCUUACCAAGGCUUUGACGGGUAGCCGGCCUGGGAGGGGGACCGGCCACAUUGGGACGGAGAUACGGCCCAGACUCCUACGGGAGGCAGCGGUGGAGAAUAUUACACAAUGGGCGGGAGCCUGAUGCAGCCACGCCGCGUGCGGGAUGACGGGCUUCGGGUUGUGAACCGCUUUCGCCUGUGACGAAGCGUGAGUGACGGUAAUGGGUAAAGAAGCACCGGCUAACUACGUG